ACAUUAUACUACAUAGCGUUAAUGCAUCGAAUUCUAUUAUAACUACGCAAUCAAGUGCACUCAGUCUAGAUUAGUAUUGGGAUGGGUGACCACCCGAGAAGUCCUAGUGUUUUACAUG
rnacentral:rRNA from 1 species